rnacentral:rRNA from 1 species
AGCGAACGCUGGCGGCAGGCCUAACACAUGCAAGUCGAGCGGCCGUAGCAAUACGGCAGCGGCAGACGGGAGAGUAACACGUGGGAACGUACCCUUUGGUUCGGAACAACACAGGGAAACUUGUGCUAAUACCGGAUAAGUCCAUAAGGAGAAAGAUUUAUCGCCGAAGGAUCGGCCCGCGUCUGAUUAGCUUGUUGGUGAGGUAACGGCUCACCAAGGCGACGAUCAGUAGCUGGUCUGAGAGGAUGAUCAGCCUCACUGGGACUGAGACACGGCCCAGACUCCUACGGGAGGCAGCAGUGGGGAAUAUUGGACAAUGGGCGCAAGCCUGAUCCAGCCAUGCCGCGUGGAUGAUGAAGGCCCUAGGGUUGUAAAGUCCUUUCGGCGGGGAAGAUAAUGACGGUACCCGCAGAAGAAGCCCCGGCUAACUUCGUGCCAGCCGCCGCCGUAAGAC